UAUGAAGAACGUAGCGAAAUGCGAUAAGUAGUGUGAAUUGCAGAAUUCAGUGAAUCAUCGAAUCUUUGAAUGCACAUUGCGCCCCUUGGUAUUCCAUGGGGCAUGCCUGUUCGAGCGUCAUUUGUACCUUCAAGCUUUGCUUGGUGUUGGGUGUUUGUCUCGCCUUUGCGUGUAGACUCGCCUUAAAAUAAUUGGCAGCCGGCGUAUUGAUUUCGGAGCGCAGUACAUCUCGCGCUUUGCACUCAUAACGACAGCGUCCAAAAGUACAUUUUACACUCUUGACCUCGGAUCAGGUAGGGAUACCCGCUGAACUUAAGCAUAUCAAUAAGCGGAGGA
rnacentral:misc_RNA from 1 species